rnacentral:rRNA from 1 species
UACGUAGGGGGCUAGCGUUGUCCGGAAUCAUUGGGCGUAAAGCGCGUGUAGGCGGCCCGGUAAGUCCGCUGUGAAAGUCGGGGGCUCAACCCUCGGAAGCCGGUGGAUACUGUCGGGCUGGAGUACGGAAGAGGCGAGUGGAAUUCCUGGUGUAGCGGUGAAAUGCGCAGAUAUCGGGAGGAACACCAGUGGCGAAGGCGGCUUUCUGGGCCUAUCCUGACGCUGAGGAGCGAAAGCGUGGGGAGCAAACAGG